CAGUUUUCUCUCCUAUUCUAUCCUGAGAGUGUACUCCCUAUCCUUUUUCUUCCUGUUCAUCUGUAGCCUAUCACAGUGUGUUGGUCCCAAAUUCACCAUCUUGGAAUCUCACUAUAGUUAUUCUUAUCACAGAAGAGUGAGUUGUAAGAAGAGUCGAUUCUGUAAUAUCACCCACAAACCUCACUCAAUUUGGAAUUUGGCUUAGAGACUACUAGAAUGAAGCCAGUGGGGAUUCAUAGCAGAGACAAUGCUCCACAGAGAAGCAGAUUAAGUCAGAGUUGUGAAGUUGGAGGGUAUUUGAAAUCUUCAGAAUUAUUUUGAUCAAUGUGAAACCUAAAGCAACUUUCAUUCCUGGGAGAUUGAAACGCUAAGACAAAAGGUGUGAGAAGAGGAAGACAACUUUACACAAGAGAAGGAAAUGAAGAACUGUGAUUUAUAUGCUGUCCAGUCUGAUCAUAGUGACUUCAGUCCACCGGAUUGAAACCUUAAGUACUCAGUGUGACACACUUAACCAAAAUCCUCUGCCAUAAAAAUCUUAGAAGCAAACUCAUAAAAGCUUACUUCAAAGAGAGGUUGUGAGGAAGAAAUGCUAAAUUAGGAACUUGCCUUAUACAUGGUGCUCCUAAUUCAUUUAUUCAAGCCUAUUCAGUCACUGCAAGAAUAAAAAAGGCACUGAGUGCUAAUACUCCUGUGAGCUGUGUGAAGUGUAUAUUUUAUUGGAGUAGUGACAGAACAACAGAACAGUAGGCUCCAAAUAAUCAUUGAUAGACAAAAUUGGGACAGGAGGGCAUGGUGGUCACACUGACUACGAUGUCAUCAGUGUGACAGACUGGUAAGGGUCUUAGAAGUUGAGGGGAUGGGAGAGAAGAAAUGCAAUAAGAAACACAAUGGUGAGCCACAUUAGGAGCAGAGACAGGUGUGAUGACUCUUUAGUGGCCCUUCUCAAGACUCUGAAGUUCAAGUGGUAAGUAACAAUUUAUUCCAGAGCUAGAAAGGAAGUCUUGGGUAAGAUUCUCUCUAUUAUUGAUUCUGGAGGACCCUGUAGUAAUUCUGGCCAUGUAGUCACCAUUCUAGCAGACAAUAGAAAGCCCCUGCCUCAACUGUCACCACAUGAUAUUUCUCAUCACCAAGAAAGACUUGAAACCUGAGGAUGUAAGGAAACAUCCACCCUCAUGAGCAUUCAUCCUGCAGUGUUUGGCACUCACACAAUACCUGUGCCAGUCCUCACGCAGGAGCAGUGAUGGGGGUGGAUGGCUAAUGAUCACAUCACCAAGUCACAGGGUUAGGGGAAGAGGAGUUACAGGAUUUGAUCUGUGUCUGAGGUAUCCCAGUACCCAUCUGCCCAGACUCUGUAUCUUUAUGAAUGGUGCUGCCUUCUGUGGACAUCUGUCUCCUUGGGAUCUUUCCACAAUUUCAUCACUUUCUAUUUUCUAAAAUGUGCUGUCUGACUGGGCUCCUGUGUCUACAGUAUGCUUUCUCAUCACUUUCUGGACCAGUCUCCUAGUGGAGGGAGCACAUGGAGACAACUCAAUUACGGCCAUUAAAAGUUGAGUGCAAUUGCCAGGCUGUAUUUUGAAUACUUUCCUGAACCUUAAGGAAGAGACUUCAAUCAAGUUUUUCACAUUCAUGUAGGAAGCCUCUAGGGGUAAAUGUCAAUCAAUAACCCUGGGCAAGUGCUAGGAGCAGAAAUAAUAUUUUCCUAUUCCUGAGUCCCAAAACCAUUAAGAUUCAACAAUUAUGAUUAAGUCCUGACAGUGAACCUGGUCCUAUUUCCAAAAUUUCACAAGUGAGAUUUGAUGUUCUGAUUAUAGAAAUAGACUAAACUAUGAUCAGAGUGUUGGUAAGUGACUGCUCACCUGCCAUGUAGUAUCAGCCAAGUGACUUUAUCUUUCUAUGCCUUGCAUUCUCUAUAAAAAGGGCAAUGAUUCCUGAUGCCCAAAACUGUUUUUGAGUAUAAAGAGUUCCAGAUACAGACACUCCUCAGCUAGUGUCGGACAAACCCUAAACCCUCAAUAAUUCUUAGAUAUCAGGAUUUGGAAUGUUACACCUUGUGAUGAUUUAAUUGAUGUUUUCUCAUUCCCUGUUCACCUCUAGUAUCCACAAAGUAAGGGGUCUUUUCAGAUUACUUCUCAUUCUCAAGACAGAGACUGAAAUGUAGAAGACCUCCAGACUGAAGAAAGGAAUGAUGAACCAAGAACACAGUUUUUUUACUCAAUUCUGUCAUCUUAUCAUGUGGAUACUAGUCAGGCAGUAAAAAGCACUGAGUUCUGGCCUCACUUCUACCACAAAG